rnacentral:rRNA from 1 species
GAUGAACGCUAGCUACAGGCUUAACACAUGCAAGUCGAGGGGUAACGAGAGGGAAGCUUGCUUUCCUUGUCGACGACCGGCGCACGGGUGAGUAACGCGUAUCCAACCUGCCCCCAACUAGGGAAUAACCUUGCGAAAGUAAGACUAAUACCCUAUAAUUUCCUCAGAUGUCAUCUGACGAGGAAUAAAGAUUUAUCGGUUGUGGAUGGGGAUGCGUCUGAUUAGCUUGUUGGCGGGGUAACGGCCCUCCAAGGCAACGAUCAGUAGGGGUUCUGGGAGGAAGGGCCCCCACAUUGGCAUUGAGACACGGUUCAAACGCCUACGGGAGGCAGCAGCGAGGAAUAUUGGUCAAUGGGCGGAAGCCUGAACCAGCCAAGUAGCGUGCAGGAUGACGGCCCUAUGGGUUGUAAACUGCUUUUAUACAGGAAUAAAGUUAGCCACGUGUGGUUAUUUGUAGGUACUGUAUGAAUAAGGACCGGCUAAUUCCGUGCCAGCAGCCGCGGUAACAC